GAUCAGAGUGAGCCCAGGCUUUGUGUGCCUGAGUCUCCUUCGCCUGCCGUGGAGUGUCGGCCUGAAGGCAGGAGACUGAUUUAACAGCCACCUGAGGGCCCGCUGCGAUGAUCUCAGCAGGACAGCCAGACGGGCUGGCGGCCAUCUUUGAGUGCUUCCAGGGUGUCAAUAUCUCCCCAAGGCGGCUUGUACGCAUGUCCGGCACCCGGUUUUCCGCUUGGUGCCUGGUUUUCAGCUUGGUGGCGGGUCUUGUCUGGUUCCCAGUUUUACGUCUUGUGCCCUGUUUUUGCAGUUGCCACUAGGGGACAGUGCUCCAUCUCUGGCACAGGUGGUAGUCCGGCAGGAAUAUCUAUAUCCAUGUGCUCUCAAAGCUGCUGCCUCCUGGGUCGGGCUUCCAAUUGGCCUGAAUCAAGACUGAAAUCUUCCCUUCUGGAACACCAGCAGAUGUUCACACAGCUCUCAACUACUGAGCCACACUCAAAAUUAAAUAGGCUGCUUGGACAAUUGCAAAGAUAUGAGAGAUAGCCUGUGAACAAGGCUGAAGGAGACGAUUUAUCGUCUCCAUGAAGCCUCUCCUUUAAGACUGGAAGAGGUGGCUGUCUUACCAAAUGUACAGAACGACACAGAGUCAAGCAAAAUGAGGAAACAAACGAGUGUGUUCUAAACAACAGCAGCAAAAAGCCUCCUGUUGAUUUUUGUUCAACAUUAGACAUCAGAAGUGGGACUCAUCUCUGUCUCUAAUGCAAGCAAAGCACCUACAGGAGUCCUUUGUACUCUGUUGCCUCCUCAUCAGUCUUGGAUUACGAGUGAAAACAACUCCUCCAAGAAUCCAGUGAGCCUGCUUUCCUGGGAGAAACUUGGAAGAUACAAGGUUAGAGAGACUGCCGGCCCUUUCACUGCAGCUGGACUGGACAUACAAAGGACAGUGAAGUCAUGUCCCUCUACUGUAUACUCAGCUAGUCUAUCACCUCUGGUGGUUUUGUGGCUUAGGUGUCACAGAGUCAUGUAUUAGAGACCCAAACUCCUUAUCACCAUGACUCUUUUUUGUUAAGCCAUACUUGCUUCUCUUGUCAUUUAC
ensembl:lncRNA